GAUGAACGCUGACAGAAUGCUUAACACAUGCAAGUCAACUUGAACUUCGGUUUGGGUGGCGGACGGGUGAGUAACGCGUAAAGAACUUGCCUCACAGAUAGGGACAACAUUUGGAAACGAAUGCUAAUACCUGAUAUUAUGAUUUUAGGGCAUCCUAGGAUUAUGAAAGCUAUAUGCGCUGUGAGAGAGCUUUGCGUCCCAUUAGCUAGUUGGAGAGGUAACGGCUCACCAAGGCGAUGAUGGGUAGCCGGCCUGAGAGGGUGAUCGGCCACAAGGGGACUGAGACACGGCCCUUACUCCUACGGGAGGCAGCAGUGGGGAAUAUUGGACAAUGGACCAAGAGUCUGAUCCAGCAAUUCUGUGUGCACGAUGAAGUUUUUCGGAAUGUAAAGUGCUUUCAGUUGGGAAGAAAAAAAUGACGGUACCAACAGAAGAAGUGACGGCUAAAUACGUGCCAGCAGCCGCGGUAAUACGUAUGUCACAAGCGUUAUCCGGAUUUAUUGGGCGUAAAGCGCGUCUAGGUGGUUAUAUAAGUCUGAUGUGAAAAUGCAGGGGCUCAACUCUGUCUUGCGUUGGAAACUGUGUAACUAGAGUACUGGAGAAGUAAGCGGAACUACAAGUGUAGAGGUGAAAUUCGUAUAUUUUUGUAGAUAUGCCGAUGGGGAACU
rnacentral:rRNA from 1 species